UCGCCUCCAGGAGGAAUCUCCAAGGACAUAUUUGAGCCCACAGACGGAAUGGACUCCUCUUCGCCCAAGCCGGUCCUACACGUGGAGCCCAAGUCAGGAAAUGAUGAAGAAACGAGCCUAAAGAGGACAGAGCCUCAAGAGCACCAACCCAAAUGACAACUGUGAUGUUUCCCAUGUAGCUCCCAUGCUACAGGGGAUCCACAAGAGGAAGAACUCUUAACACUGAAGUAAGUGGGGAGGCCGAGACGAAAGGCAUCAGAGGCGAUCCAGUGCGGCUGGUGGGGACGCUCACGGAUAAAGCACAGCCAGUGAAGUAUGGUCCUGGGAAGAAAUGCAUGAGGUACAAACUAAGUCAGAACCUGAAGCUCCAAAAUGCAAAUUAAAACGGCUUAUUCCCUAAGAGAAAGCAAGUCCCGAGGAAGAAAAAACAAUUUGGGCAAAUUGU